rnacentral:rRNA from 1 species
AUUGAACGCUGGCGGCAGGCCUAACACAUGCAAGUCGAACGGUAACAGGAAGAAGCUUGCUUCUUUGCUGACGAGUGGCGGACGGGUGAGUAAUGUCUGGGAAACUGCCUGAUGGAGGGGGAUAACUACUGGAAACGGUAGCUAAUACCGCAUAACGUCGCAAGACCAAAGAGGGGGACCUUCGGGCCUCUUGCCAUCGGAUGUGCCCAGAUGGGAUUAGCUAGUAGGUGGGGUAACGGCUCACCUAGGCGACGAUCCCUAGCUGGUCUGAGAGGAUGACCAGCCACACUGGAACUGAGACACGGUCCAGACUCCUACGGGAGGCAGCAGUGGGGAAUAUUGCACAAUGGGGGCAAGCCUGAUGCAGCCAUGCCGCGUGUAUGAAGAAGGCCUUCGGGUUGUAAAGUACUUUCAGCGGGGAGGAAGGGAGUAAAGUUAAUACCUUUGCUCAUUGACGGUACCCGCAGAAGAAGCACCGGCUAACUCCGUG